AGGUGCGAUCAUACCAGCACUAAUAUACCGAAUCCCAUUAGAACUACGCAGUUAAGCGUGCUUGGGCGAGAGUAGGACUAGGACGGGUGACCUCCUGGGAAGUCCUCGUGUUGCACCUC
rfam:Lupinus angustifolius cultivar Tanjil contig_23391, whole genome shotgun sequence.